UUAUGAAUCACAGUGCCUUAUGUGACUCAUGUCUGAAAUAGUAUGAAAUUCCUAUCAGGACCAGAUAUGCUAUCGUCUUCUAACUAUUCGACUCCUGAAAGUGAACUGAGACCAAUUGGGUCGUCAACUUGGACUUAUAUUGCAAAUAACGCUACCGUGCUCUUUCUCUCUCUCUUUUCCCGUCUAGUGAGGUUUGAGAGUCUUGUCUACCCGAUAUUAAACCCAGUAUAAAACCCAGGAGGGAUUAGCAUGGAGGAAAUAUUGCACCCACAUGAGCCAGCUUUCUUCAUUGCAACUUUGCAUGUCAGAGAUGAUUUUGACGAUAAAAAGAACAAUGCGCUCAACUAAUGGAGUCUGGAUUGUGUUAUUGCGUAGCAAUGGUUGGAUCUACUGGUUUUCGUCAAAUUGGGUACGAAAUACAUGGACAAAGAUUAUGAAACUGUAUGCACGUAUUGAUUGUAAUAUUUGUGAUGAUGCGAUGAACAUGUAAAUAAAUAAAGUGCUAAAAAUAGUAUCAGAUAUUAAAUCAUGAA